rnacentral:rRNA from 1 species
GUCCACGCCGUAAACGAUGUUCACUCGCUGUUUGCGAUAUACAGUAAGCGGCCAAGCGAAAGCAUUAAGUGAACCACCUGGGGAGUACGUCGGCAACGGUGAAACUCAAAGGAAUUGACGGGGCCCGCACAAGCGGAGGAACAUGUGGUUUAAUUCGAUGAUACGCGAGGAACCUUACCUGGGCUUAAAAUGUAGAGUGCAUGAGGUGGAAACACCCUUCCUUCGGGGCUUUCUACAAGGUGCUGCAUGGUUGUCGU